GGAUACUUCUAAGAUAAUUUGAAUGCACAUAAGUGGCUUUAUAGAAAUAGUUAUCGUCUACCAAUUCGUAAUAUGGGAGGAGCUGUACCAAACUACUGAAGUUUUAUCGAUGAAACUAUUAGAGAAACUUGUUGACAAAGUAUCAUCACUAUGUAAAAUAUCAGUCUACUUUAUGAACUUGUUUGAAUGGAAGUCAAUCAAGUAUAUCUUUUCAUGUAAAACCACCAGUAUUGGAAGAUUAUUUUGUUUAACAGAAUUACGUUAUGUAUUUUUGUACCUUUUCCUA